rnacentral:rRNA from 1 species
UCGAACGCGUCUCCGUUAAUGAUUUUAGGUGCUUGCACUUGAAAGAUUUCCAUUGAGACGAGUGGCGAACUGGUGAGUAACACGUGGGUAACCUGCCCUUGAAGUAGGGGAUAACACUUGGAAACAGGUGCUAAUACCGUAUAACAACCAAAACCACCUGGUUUUGGUUUAAAAGACGGCUUCGGCUGUCACUUUAGGAUGGACCCGCGGCGUAUUAGCUUGUUGGUAAGGUAACGGCCUACCAAGGCGAUGAUACGUAGCCGACCUGAGAGGGUAAUCGGCCACAUUGGGACUGAGACACGGCCCAAACUCCUACGGGAGGCAGCAGUAGGGAAUCUUCCACAAUGGACGAAAGUCUGAUGGAGCAACGCCGCGUGAGUGAUGAAGGGUUUCGGCUCGUAAAACUCUGUUGUUGGAGAAGAACAGGUGUCAGAGUAACUGUUGACAUCUUGACGGUAUCCAACCAGAAAGCCACGGCUAACUACGUGCCAGCAGCCGCGGUAAUACGUAGGUGGCAAGCGUUGUCCGGAUUUAUUGGGCGUAAAGCGAGCGCAGGCGGUUUUUUAGGUCUGAUGUGAAAGCCUUCGGCUUAACCGGAGAAGUGCAUCGGAAACCGGGAGACUUGAGUGCAGAAGAGGACAGUGGAACUCCAUGUGUAGCGGUGAAAUGCGUAGAUAUAUGGAAGAACACCAGUGGCGAAGGCGGCUGUCUGGUCUGUAACUGACGCUGAGGCUCGAAAGCAUGGGUAGCGAACAGGAUUAGAUACCCUGGUAGUCCAUGCCGUAAACGAUGAGUGCU